GUGUCUCCAGGACGAUUAAUAAAGCAGUUGAGUGCUGUAGCACCCUACAUAACACAGGGUUAAAAAAAACACUUGUCGUCUGUGUUUAAAGCUGCACCAUGUUCCUGUGCCUUUGGGAAACAUUGUGUGUCGCCUCAAUGAGAAGGCCGGGGCCAUCCUGUAGACGGGAGCCGAACCUUUCAACCUGGCACUUCAGCGCUUGUGCGGCGCAGACGCUCAGCCCGGAGAAUGCCACUAAAGCCUAAAGAGCACCAAAGUUUUCUGGAGGUUGGCGUGUUUCUAAAAAACCUCCUUUAAGCAAACCAGGAAAGCGGGGAGGAAAACGCGGUCAGGCCGACAUUGCCACCUCCUCCUCUCUCAUCACCCUUUUUGCCCCACAGUCUCUAAUGCCAUCUGCACCGCCAACGGGGGGACACUUUGCCCGUGCCAGGAGGAGGCGGAGAAAGACCCUCGCCAGAUCCCCGGAGAACGGGCGCGCUCAGAGGAGCCAUCUUGGGAGAUGCUGCCGCGACACCUAAAAUGGCUGGGGCUGGCAUAGUAGGACGGGACCUGUGAGGCUCUGCUCUCUGCAGGAAACUGCUCUGGCACCAGGAGACUGUGGAGCAAAAGCAACAUAAUGUCAUCAUCAGAUUUUGUUUCACCAGAGCAGGAACUCAGCGAGAUUAACUGCCAACUAAACACCGCGAGAAGAAGAAGAAGAAAAAGAAGAAGAAGAAGAAGAGGAAGAGGAAGAGGAGGAGGAGUCAUGUGUAGUAACAAAAGAUUUGCUGUGUAAAUCUGAAAUAUAUCUCAAGAUGACUGCCAACCUUAGAAAUAAUACAAAGUUUAUGUUAAAAUGCUGCACUCAUGAAUAAUUGUAUAUAGUUAUUACACAAUUAUACAAUAAAAAAAAACUGCAAAUAAAAAAGCCUUAAUUGUU